ensembl:lncRNA
CCCAAUUCAAUCAGAUCUGCUUCAGCAAACAGCCGCGUAGCUAAUAUUUUGUGUGUUGGACAAGUGUGUUGGAGGUAGACCUUCGUUAGAGCUGUCAAAUUCACAAGUGGCUCCCAGCAUGCAGUCGCAUUAAGAAAAAACCCAUGCAGACUUGUUUACAAGUUGGGACACUGGAAUGUGAGAUGUAAUCCACACUUCGAUUAUGCUGAUUUAGAAACCCUCAUUUAUUUUGUUAAAUGAUUUUUCAAUUUGAGCGUAAUUAUUUCUAUAUAGCCUUCACGUUCUCAUUCUGAACUUCUAACGUGAGUGCAGCGGAUUUUGUUACAAUGAUGGAGCAGAGGGUCACUGAUUUGACAGUUCCACUCACCUGCGACACCACCAAAACAUCCGCUAAGCGAUUGCCUGCUGUCGCCGGUUAACGCUUGAACUGAUUGAAUGUAAGCCUUAAUCUAAAGACAACAGAUUUGAGGAUCAUUAGAAAACUCGUACCCUCUUUUUAAAAAUUUUUAAUCUUGGGUGUUAAAUCCCUUUAAGUUAUUGGAGAUGUUUUUAUUUCUUUUUUUUUAUAUUUCACUGUCGUUCCACAAAUAGCCUUGCUGUAAGAGUGCCUUGGACGUGGGACCUAAAUAACCAAGUUAUUUCCCGAAUACACAGACCCUGAUUUAAAGUAUUUAUGAUAUCUACGGUAUAUUGCUAUUUCUCCGAGCUGGUGGCUUUUUUUCAUAUUGUUUUAACGGUUUGUCUUCAUGACCAGCGUGCAUGUUAGCAUGAUUUUGUUCAGGUUACGGUUUUUGUGUCUAUUUUGGACUUUUGAGGUAGUUUUGGCAUUAUGGUGAAAGUUUCUGAACUUUCCUCAGUUAAACUGAAUGGUUCUUCAUGCUGAUUUCUUUAUCGAUCCAUUUUUUUUUAAAGUCUUCAGCUGGCUGUGUUUUUAUAUUCAUCAUUGAAACAAGUUUCCACCACAUCAUCAUCCCAUUGACACUGCCUGAGCCGAACUCUGCUGUACUGCAAUCAAAUCCAUCAAUGACCUGUAUCUGUCAUUGUUCUGGAUAAGUGUUAUCUCCCCCACUGUUUUCAGCACAUUUGUUUACAGCUAUACUGUAUGAGUGAAUAAAUGUUUCAGAGUUACCA